AUUGAACGCUGGCGGCAGGCCUAACACAUGCAAGUCGAACGAGUGGCGGACGGGUGAGUAAUGUCUGGGAAACUGCCUGAUGGAGGGGGAUAACUACUGGAAACGGUAGCUAAUACCGCAUACCAUCAGAUGUGCCCAGAUGGGAUUAGCUAGUUGGUGGGGUAACGUCUCACCACGGCGACGAUCCCUAGCUGGUCUGAGAGGAUGACCGGCCACACUGGAACGUGGACACGGUCCAGACUCCUACGGGAGGAAGCAGUGGGGAAUAUGGCACAAUGGGCGCAAGCCUGAUGCGGCCAUGCCGGGUGUAUGAAGAGGGCCUUGGGGUUGUAAAGUACUUUCAGCGGGGAGGCGUUACCCGCAGAAGAAGCACCGGCUAACUCCGUGCCAGCCGCCGCGGUAAUUC
rnacentral:rRNA from 1 species